rnacentral:lncRNA from 1 species
GCUGUGGGUUUUUAAGUGACUUCCUUUUAGUAGAAUUCAGGUCCUGAGGGUAGAGAUUCAAUCUAGAAGUUUGGAAACAAGCACUAUUCUGAGCCCCUGAUGUGGGUGGAGCAUCUGUGAGCGUGAUCUUAGCUAUCUGUGCAUUUUUGCUACCUUGUGGCUGCUUCAGAGCAGAGCUGGGGGGUCGUCAUGGUCCUCAAACUGAGCCUGCAUCAGGGUCCCAUGGAGGGCUUGUUAAAACGCAAAUUGCUAGGCCCUGCCUCCAAGGUUCCUGAUUCAGUAGCUCUGAUAUGGAGCCCAGGAAUUUGAAUUUCUAACAAGUUCCCAGGUGAUGCUGGAGACUGCCCUUUGAGGACCACUGGCUUAGUGGUUAAGAACAGGGACCCUGGAGUCCGACUACUGAGGUUCAAACCAAGGCUUCCUCUUGAGCAGGUUACUUCAUUCUCCAUGCCUGGUUUCCAUAUCGAUCUAAAAAGGAUAAUGAUAGUAUCGACUUCACAAGUUUCCUGUGGGGAUUAGAUAAGUUGAUGAGCAUGAAGUACUUGGUACAGGGCUUGGCACACAGCAGAUAUAUGUUUGGAAUUCUUAUUAAGACAACCUUCCUGGAAAUAGUUACAGUGAUUCUCAGUCUCUGGAAAAAGCCCCCUUUUAAUGUCUGCAAUUUUGGUUAAUGUUUACCCCAAGGGCAUAACGGGAGAAAUGAACACAUUGCAUGAAAUAAGCAGCAAUGACAACAACAGCAACACAUGCACACGCACACACGAAAGAUGAGACUUCUGCCUUUUGCUUCCAAGCUGUUCAUAUGGUGAUCAUUUAGCCAUUUCUUCCAUAAACUUCCUUUUAUCCUGUGGCUGAACUGACUGGCUUCACUUCGAGAUCAGGGACAUGGUGGUGUAUUGAGGACCUACACAGAAACUGGGUUCUUGUGGACUCUGUUGGAGCUCUCAUCUCAACCUGACAACCUGGAGAUGGGCAAAGUACAGGGGGAGUUACGCUUCGCUCAGGACCUUGCGUGUGUGGUCUUUCUUGGACAAGAAAGCACAUUGGACUCCUCCCGUCAAGCCCUUUCUUCCCUGUAUCUGAGGUGAGAAAAAAAGUUGACUCCUUCUUAGCCAUUUUGAGCAACCCUGUUACUUGCCACAGGGAGUGGAAAAGAGCAAUUUGCAUCCUGAGAUCUAAAAAAAUAGCCUUUAACUCUAUGUCCAUCAGUUGUAGGUCUAAAAAUAAAGAUGAAGAUAUUAAAAUUGUUAAACAAAUGAAGCUUACAGAUAAUAAAGAGGAAGAAAGAAAUAGUGUGAGGGAAAAUUGAUCUUUGAAUCUACACGCUGCUCUUGACAAGCAGCACUAUACUAUCCUAUUCUUGGAUAGCAGAAGUUUC